GCCCUUCACUACGGAAUAGCCUCGGGAAACUGAGAGUAAUACCGUAUACGCCCUUUGGGGAAAGAUUUAUCGGUGAAGGAUUAGCCCGCGUCUGAUUAGAUAGUUGGUGGGGUAACGGCCUACCAAGUCGACGAUCAGUAGCUGGUUUGAGAGGAUGAUCAGCAACACUGGGACUGAGACACGGCCCAGACUCCUACGGGAGGCAGCAGUGGGGAAUCUUAGACAAUGGGCGCAAGUGAUCUAGCCAUGCCGCGUGAGUGACGAAGGCCUUAGGGUCGUAAAGCUCUUUCGCCAGGGAUGAUAAUGACAGUACCUGGUAAAGAAACCCCGGCUAACUCCGUGCCAGCAGCCGCGGUAAUACGGAGGGGGUUAGCGUUGUUCGGAAUUACUGGGCGUAAAGCGCGCGUAGCGGAUUAUUAAGUUAGAGGUGAAAUCCCAGGGCUCAACCCUGGAACUGCCUUUAAUACUGGUAGUCUAGAGUUCGAGAGAGGUGAGUGGAAUUCCGAGUGUAGAGGUGAAAUUCGUAGAUAUUCGGAG
rnacentral:rRNA from 1 species